rnacentral:rRNA from 2 species
UACGGAGGGUGCAAGCGUUAUCCGGAUUCACUGGGUUUAAAGGGUGCGUAGGAGGGCAGGUAAGUCAGUGGUGAAAUCUUCGAGCUUAACUCGGAAACUGCCGUUGAUACUAUCUGUCUUGAAUCCCGUGGAGAUGAGCGGAAUAUGUCAUGUAGCGGUGAAAUGCUUAGAUAUGACAUAGAACACCAAUUGCGAAGGCAGCUCGUUACACGAAGAUUGACUCUGAGGCACGAAAGCGUGGGGAUCAAACAGG